rnacentral:rRNA from 1 species
CCUACGGGAGGCAGCAGUAAGGAAUAUUGGUCAAUGGACGAAAGUCUGAACCAGCCAUGCCGCGUGGAGGAUUAAGGCCCUCUGGGUUGUAAACUCCUUUUAUCUGGGAAGAAAUGCCAUUUUUCUAAAUGGUUUGACGGUACCAGAGGAAUAAGCACCGGCUAACUCCGUGCCAGCAGCCGCGGUAAUACGGAGGGUGCAAGCGUUAUCCGGAUUCACUGGGUUUAAAGGGUGCGUAGGCGGGCAGGUAAGUCCGUGGUGAAAUCUCUGAGCUUAACUCAGAAACUGCCAUGGAUACUAUUUGUCUUGAAUACUGUGGAGGUAAGCGGAAUAUGUCAUGUAGCGGUGAAAUGCUUAGAUAUGACAUGGAACACCAAUUGCGAAGGCAGCUUACUACACAGUUAUUGACGCUGAGGCACGAAAGCGUGGGGAUCAAACAGGAUUAGAUACCCUGGUAGUCCACGCCCUAAACGAUGAUUACUCGACAUCAGCGAUACACUGUUGGUGUCUGAGCGAAAGCAUUAAGUAAUCCACCUGGGAAGUACGUUCGCAAGAAUGAAACUCAAAGGAAUUGACGG